AAAAACAUCGCCUUCUGAAAAUCAAUUGAAGGUCCAGCCUGCCCAGUGAUAAACUUAAACGGCCGCGGUACUUUAACCGUGCAAAGGUAGCACAAUCACUUGUUCUUUAAAUAAGGACUAGUAUGAAUGGCAUCACGAGGGUUAUACUGUCUCCCUCUUUUAAUCAGUGAAACUAAUCUCCCCGUGAAGAAGCGAGGAUAUUUAUAUAAGACGAGAAGACCCCAUGGAGCUUAAAACCAAGUGCCACUUGCACCUCUUACACCACCUAAACUCAACAAGCCUGCCCACUGGUUUUGGGUUGGGGCGACCGCGGAGUAAAAUAAAACCUCCACGACGAAAGGAAAUAACCUCCUAAUCAAAGAGCUACUACUCAAAGAAUCAAAAUAUUGACCUAAAUUGAUCCAAUAUACUUGAACAACGAACCAAGUUACCCUGGGGAUAACAGCGCAAUCCAUUUCAAGAGCCCAUAUCAACAAAUGGGUUUACGACCUCGAUGUUGGAUCAGGGUAUCCCAGUGGUGCAGCCAUUACUAAAGGUUCGUUUGUUCAACGAUUAAAACCCUACGUGAUCUGA
rnacentral:rRNA from 1 species